rnacentral:lncRNA from 1 species
CACGAACACCAUUUCAGCUGUGAGAGUGACGCUCCCGAGUGGAGAGAGGGAACGAAACCAUUUAGGACCCGUCUGCAUCCCUGAGUCUGCCCACACUGCACAGGUCUCCACCACCCUUACCAUGUGCUGGCUCAAAUCCAGAACUCCGUCAGGAAGAGCAGAAAGCCAGACUGAUUGGCUGGGGAGGGAGGACCUGGGGUCUCCUGCAGUUUCCCGUGUCUUCUUCACUUGCCCUUCACUGCAACGGCCACAGCCCCACGGCAGCAACCUCACGCUUCCUCCCUACAUUGAUAGUGGUAUUGAGCUCUGUCGCUGCAUCCCAAGGUCUGCAGGUAGCUCAGGACAGUGCAGUUCCAACAGGGAGGCAUCUGCAUGGGAGCUCAUGUGAUCUCAUUGGAGAAAAGUGGACAGAGUCAAUGCCCAUCCCCCCCCCCAGAGUGUUCGGGGUCUGAGAAUGACAGGAGGAAACAUAGGAGUGAAGUGAACUAGUUAGUGCUACCCUGGUUAGGUUUAAAGUUGCAAACAGUGGGAGUGGGGGUAGUGUGUUCAAGGUUCUGUGACCAUACUGCAUUGACUAUAAAUGGUAAAUGGUGAGAGAAAGACUUCUUCCCACUCCUUACCUCUGCUUCUGUGGG